AGGUGCGAUCAUACCAGCACUAAUGCACCGGAUCCCAUCAGAACUCCGCAGUCACGCGUGCUUGGGCGAGAGUUGUACUGGGAUGGGUGACCUCCUGUACUGGGAUGGGUGACCUCCAGUGUACUGGGAUGGUGACCUCCAUGUACUGGGAUGGGUGACCUCCUGGGAAGUCCUUGUGUUGCACCUC
rnacentral:rRNA from 1 species